UCAGUCGACUCCUACGGGGAGGCAGCAGUGGGGGAAUAUUGCACAAUGGGUGCAAGCCUGAUGCAGCCAUGCCGCGUGUAUGAAGAAGGCCUUCGGGUUGUAAAGUACUUUCAGCAGUGAGGAAGGUGGGGUAUGGUUAAUAGCAUACUCAUUUGACGUUAGCUGCAGAAGAAAGCACCGGCUAACUCCGUGCCAGCAGCCGCGGUAAUACGGAGGGUGCGAGCGUUAAUCGGAAUUACUGGGCGUAAAGCGCAUGCAGGUGGUUUGUUAAGUCAGAUGUGAAAGACCCGGGGCUCAACCUCGGAAUUGCAUUUGAAACUGGCAAACUAGAGUACUGUAGAGGGGGGUAGGAAUUUCAGGUGUAGCGGUGAAAUGCGUAGAGAUCUGAAGGAAUACCGGUGGCGAAGGCGGCCCCCUCGGACAGAUACUGACACUCAGAUGCGAAAGCGUGGGGAGCAAACAGGAUUAGAUACCCUGGUAG
rnacentral:rRNA from 1 species